rnacentral:rRNA from 1 species
GGAUUAGGCAUGCAAGUCGAACGAGGGAGUGUUGAAAGGGACACAAACCGAGUGGCGUAAGGGCGAGUAAUGCAUUGAUAACCUGCCCUUUGAGAUGGGGAUAACAACGCUCGCAAGAGACUUCGAAAGGGUUGCCUAAUCCCAAUAAGACUGUUGGUGCGGAGGUGCUGAGAGUCAAAGGCUGGAGUGAAAGCUCAUUUGCUCAGAGAGGGGCAAUGUCCCUAUCAGCUAGUUGGUAGGGUAAAGGCCUACCAAGGCGAAGACGGGUAGCCGGCCCUGAGAGGGUGGUCGGCCGCAUUGGGACUGAGACACUGCCCAGACUCCUACGGGAGGCUGCAGUCGAGAAUCCUUUCGCAAUGCCCGCAAGGGUGACGAAGCGACGCCGCGUGUGGGAAGAAGGCCUUCGGGUUGUAAACCACCUGUCGGGAGUUAAGAAAGGUGUACGGGUAAAUAGUCCGUGCAUUUGACAAAAGCCGGAGAAGCCACGGGUAACUCUGUGCCAGCAGCCGCGGUAUACAGAGGGUGCAGCGUUGUUCGGAAUUAUUGGGCGUAAAGAGCACGUAGGCGCCCUGCAAGUCAGCUGUUGGAAAGCCUCCUUGCUAACGGGAGAAAGGUCAGUUGAAACUUCGGGGCUAGAUCGGAAGGGGAGAGUGGAACUUUGGGGAGCGGUGAAAUGCGUAAUAUCAGAAGGAACACCGGGGCGAAAGCGGCCUCUCUGGUCCGUAACUGACGCUGAGUGUGCGAAAGCUAGGGGAGCAAACGGGAUUAGAUACCCCCGGUAGUCCUGGCCGUAAACGAUGGGCACUCGGUAGAGGGGUUUUGAAUAUCUCUCUGCCUGAGCUAACGCGUUAAGUGCCCCGCCUGGGGAGUACGGCCGCAAGGCUAAAACCUCAAAAGAAUUGACGGGGGCUCGCACAAGCGGUGGAGCAUGUGGCUUAAUUCGAUGCAACACGAAGAACCUUACCGGGGCUCGACAUGACAGAAGUAGGAGUCCGAAAGGACAACCAACGGUUAUCCAGUCCGUAGCUGUCACAGGUGGUUGCAUGGCCGUCGUCAGCUCGUGUCGUGAGACGUUGGGUUAAGUCCCCUAACGAGCGAAACCCUUUGUCUUUAGUUGCCAACGGGGCAAGCCGGGCACUUCUAAAGAGACUGCUGUCGUUAAGACGGAGGAAGGUGGGGAUGACGUCAAGUCAUCAUGGCCCUUAUGUCCCGGCUGCACACGUGCUACAAUGGUCGGUACAAAGGGAUCUAAUCGCAAGAUGGAGCGAAACCCAAAAGCCGGUCCCAGUUCAGAUUGGAGGCUGAAACCCGCCUCCAUGAAGGAGGAAUCGCUAGUAAUCGCGGAUCAGCUAUGCCGCGGUGAAUAUGUUCCCGAGCCUUGUACACACCGCCC